GUCGCAUUGGUGGCAUAGAGAAGGUUGGGCACACAGAAGAAGAACAAACCUUCCUGCUGGAUGCUAAUGGAAGCUGAACGUGACGCAGUUUCUCUAUAUCACAGCGUCACGUUGAGAAGACUAAACUACCAUAUCAUCCUCCGCCCAUCGGUUCCCAGAGGCAUUUAAAUGGAGGCUUCAUGGAUGCAGAUAGAGGAGGAGGAAGUUCAACUGUUUCACCGUUAUCCCAGACUCCGUCUCAUCGUUAUCCCAGACUCUGUUUCACCGUUAUCCCAGACUCCGUCUCAUCGUUAUCCCAGACU